rnacentral:rRNA from 1 species
CCUANGGGGGGCUGCAGUCGAGAAUAUUCGACAAUGGGCGAAAGCCUGAUCGAGCGACGCCGCGUGCAGGAUGAAGUGCUUCGGUAUGUAAACUGCUUUUGUGAACCAGAAAGUUUAUUGAUCGGUUCAAGAAUAAGAGGUUGCUAAACUCGUGCCAGCAGCAGCGGUAAUACGAGUGCCUCGAGCGUUAUCCGGAAUCAUUGGGCGUAAAGGGUGUGCAGGUGGUCUUAUUAGUCUUUUGUUAAAUUCUUCGGCUUAACCGGGGACGUGCAAGGGAAACGGUAAGACUAGAGGAUGCGAGAGGUUUACGGAACUCAUAGUGUAGCGGUGAAAUGCGUUGAUAUUAUGGGGAACACCAAAUGCGAAGGCAGUAAACUGGAGCACUCCUGACAUUGAAACACGAAAGCGUGGGUAGCGAAUGGGAUUAGAUACCCCUNUANUC